rnacentral:lncRNA from 1 species
AUCAAGUUCACACUCGUUUCUUGGGCUCAGAGUUCUGUUGGGGAAAACGAACCUUUACACAAUGGAAGAGAAAUGUGUGCCUCCAUAAGAAUACAGAUAAAAGUCUGAGAAUUUUCUGGAAAACAAUCGGAAAAGAAAACAUUGAUUCCAUCUAAGGAACGAAAACGUAAGCGAAUGGAGCUAACAAUGAAGGUUUUUAAAAUAUAAAGGUUCGGCUGGAAGGAUACAGAAGAGUCACCAACGUAAGAUGAAAUUUUGUGUGAAGAGGCUACAAAAGUAUCGGAAUGUGGAAACCAAUUAAAUUUUUUAUAAAAUCCAUUUGAGAACUUAAAGAUUAAAGUUUUCUUCUUCAGGGGGUAUAGUGACAUUAGCUAUAGUUGAGGUUUACAAACAAUUUGCACUUUUUUCUGUACAUAUCAGUUUCGUCAUUGACUCUCUCUUUCCAGAAUAUUUAUACAAAUUUGAAUGGCAAACAACUUAGUAGUUUGUCCCUCACAAGUAAUAAAGUAGGAUAAAUGUUAGGUGUUUAUAUUUGUAUGAUUUCAGAAAUUAUUAAGAUAAUAGUGAUAACUCAGCAAUUAGAUCCGACGUCGGCAACGUUUUUGGAUGCGGGGCAGAACAAAAUGCAUGUAAGACGUUUCGGGUUAGUGAAAAUUUCAUUUUAGAACAGUUUUUCUUAGUGAAUAUUAAGAUAAAUUUUACCAAGCACAUAAUUACAACACGUUUUAAAUUUUAAACAUUAAAAGUAUAGUUCUAAUGAUUAUAAAAAUUAACUUAAUAAACUUUUACUUUUCUCUCUGAUAUCAAUGGCUUUCCUGAUGUUGAACUUGUUACGUCAAUUAAGUGAAGUUUGGAUUAUGUAAUAGUUAGUCAUCUUAAGACGACUACAAGCAUCUGAAUUUUCUAUAAUUAAGCUGCUCCUGUUUUCACUUCAAAUAAAUUUCACGCGUGAAAAUAUUUUCUCACAUUUAUUAGUAGAACCAAAUGCGGACAAAAUGACAAAGCCAUUUUUUAAAUUAUGGAUUAUGGAUUGGUGUUGUCAAACGUAACGAUUUCCUCUUGAAUUUUUUUUUAUUUUUUAAAAAUAAAAAUAAUGCUUGUUACUACAACUUUGUUAUCAAAGAAAAAUGUUAUAAUUAUUAUUUAUUACCGAACUUUUUAUGUGUUCAUAAAGUGGUCGUUUCAUAUGGAUGUUCUAUAAUUAAUUUUUAUGUAUCAUGCUUUAUUUUCGGAAUUCAAGUGGGUUUCUUGAAACUGUGAAAUGGGUCACUUGGUGACUCGUAGGUCAUAGGUUGCCGAGGCCUGAAUUAGAUAAUACGUAAUAUUUGAGAGUAGGAUUUGAAUUUGAAAUAAUUAAGAAGUAGAGAUAAGUGUUACAAACUGAAUCUUCGAACCUUUUUUCCGUUUGUUGAUUUAAUGAUUAGUUACGUCUGCGAAGAAAUAAUUUUGAAAGUUUAUCUUCUCUCUGUGUACUCCUGACACUAGUCAUCUUGUAAUUAACUGAUAUUUUGUUUUUUUACUAGAGAAAUCGAGUUAAAAGUAAAACUCACUUUUCUCUCCCGUAGUGUUAUGUUUUCAAAACUGAGAAACAGCGAAUUACGAAACUGACAUCACAUUCAGUAAAUUCAGAUGUACACUUUUUCUGCUGCGAUCCAGAGAUACUGUUACCACAACUCAGUCCGCUGGUGGAAAUCAGUGAAUACGGAUAAGCCUUCCUAGCGUGCCUUCGUGGUGUAGUGGUUCUGCAUACUGGGCCGGUAUUCCAGAGGUUCGUGGUUAGAUUUCCGGCGAAAACGUUGCCUAUUUUUCAUCUUUCCUGCCUCCAAAAAAUACCUAAUGUCUCUACAAACUGAUGUUAACCCAAGGUUACUAUUUGCUUAAUAUGUAGAAUUCGUGUAAUAAAGGUGCCUGUGUUUGAGA